AAAGUCGUAACAAGGUUUCCGUAGGUGAACCUGCGGAAGGAUCAUUAAAGAAUUCAAAUUGGGUAAAUACUUUUACCAACCCAUGUGAACCGUAAAGUUUUUUACAAACUACGUCUUACUUAAACCUAAGCCUGAAGUAAACAUAAAAUAUAAAUCAAAUACAACUUUCAACAACGGAUCUCUUGGCUCCU
rnacentral:misc_RNA from 1 species